AUUGAACGCUGGCGGCAUGCUUUACACAUGCAAGUCGAACGGCAGCGCGGGCUUCGGCCUGGCGGCGAGUGGCGAACGGGUGAGUAAUACAUCGGAACGUGCCCAGUAGUGGGGGAUAGCUCGGCGAAGGCCGGAUUAAUACCGCAUACGACCUGAGGGUGAAAGCGGGGGUUCUUCGGACCUCGCGCUAUUGGAGCGGCCGAUGGCAGAUUAGCUAGUUGGUGGGGUAAAGGCCUACCAAGGCGACGAUCUGUAGCUGGUCUGAGAGGACGACCAGCCACACUGGGACUGAGACACGGCCCAGACUCCUACGGGAGGCAGCAGUGGGGAAUUUUGGACAAUGGGCGAAAGCCUGAUCCAGCAAUGCCGCGUGUGUGAUGAAGGCCUUCGGGUUGUAAAGCACUUUUGGCGGGAACGAAAAGGACUGUGCCAAUACCACAGUUCGAUGACGGUACCCGCAGAAUAAGCACCGGCUAACUACGUG
rnacentral:rRNA from 1 species